ensembl:lncRNA
GCGGCCGCCCUGAGGGCCUGGGGGCUCGCUCCAGGGAUCCCCUCUCUGGCCUCCUGCUCCCAGGGCCUCACCAGAGCAGUUGCCGACGGGGCAAGGCCGGAAGUGGCCAUCCAGUCGUGUGCAGGGGGGGCCCGCCCCCGCCCCUCCAGGCGCCGCUCCCUGGUGCCGGUAGCGCUGCUGGACCAGCACCCGACAGGAGCACCGCGUCCAGCUGCUCCAGCUGCUCCAGACGCAUUCCUCUGGGGACCAAGGUGGGGGGAUGCCAGCCAGACCCCGCCAGCCUCUCCCCUCCCUCCCUGCCCUUCCCCUCCCCUCUGAUAUCAUCCCAGCCCUGGCCAACACCCUGCACAGUAAAAGGGCAAAAGGGAGCCAAGAAUUCACACAAGUCCUAAUUCACUGUGCUCCCUGUCCCCUAGCAGCGAGGGUCACAUCCCAAAAAGCUCAGAGGAAAAUGGCGGGAAGAGGAAAGAGAGGAGAUAAAAUAUCAGGGGGCUAGAUCUGCAUCUUGGGAGGACCAUCUGGGGUUUGGGAAAACAUGCUACUCCCUGUACCUCUCCUGUGCACACUCACCCAGGCAGGGCCCUGGGUAGCAGGCCCGGGUGUCCUGGUGCAGGAAGGUGCCAUUGCAGGUGGGGUCGGCUCUGGCCAGUGGGCAGGGGCAGGACCCAGAGCGGGAGGCCAGGCCAGGGCCGCAGCUGCGGGAACAGGGCCCCCAGGGACCCCAGGAGCAGGCGUCCAGCCGCCCCAGACAGGCCUCCUCAUCGGCAGCAUCGGGACAGUCGGAACGUCCAUCACAGAGCAGGCCGGGGGGCAGGCAGUGCCCAUCAGCGCAGGCCAGCCAGUCGUGGGGGCACGGGCAGCCCUGCUCAUCCGUCCCAUCGCCACAGUCGUCCCGCCCGUCACAGAGCAGGGCCAGGGGCAGGCAGCGGCCCGAGCUGCAGGACACCUGCCCCUCCCCACAGCCUGGGGUGGCACAGCCUGGCACGGGGAGAGCAGGCAAGGGCAAGAUGACAAAGGGUCCUAGAGAAGCCCCCGACCCCCGAAAGACCAGAACAGCCCUGCCCACCAGCCACAGCCGCUGGCAACGUGAGCCACAGCUCAGGAAGCCACUCAGUUCAGUGUAGGAGACACCGCAUAGUAGGAGAGACCCGUCACUCAGCCAUUGCCCCACACAGACAAGGACACUCACCCUCCUCGUCUGAGCCAUCGCCACAAUCAUCCUGGUUGUCACAAAGCCACUCGUGGGGCACACAGUGCCCACCAUCCUGGCACAGGACCUCUCCAUCUACACAGCCGGGCACCAGCUCCUCACAGCGGGUCCUGCCGCUCCCACAAAGCCACUGACUUUCCUGGCAUGUGCUGAGCACACGGCGUCCUGGGAUCAGCCCCAGCGCUCAGCUCUGGCCACCCAGGGGCUGGGGCUCCCCUGCGGCCCGCCCCACUCACCAGUUCCCACAGUCCUUCUGGACCACCGUCCCCGGCGGGAAGAAGCUGCCCCCUGACUCACAGGGGCAGGAAGCUGGCUCUAAGCAGACUCCUCCUGGGAUCA